rnacentral:rRNA from 1 species
UACGUAGGGUCCGAGCGUUGUCCGGAGUUACUGGGCGUAAAGCGCGCGCAGGCGGCGGUGCUGGCCCGGCGUGAAAGCCCCCGGCUCAACCGGGGAGAGUCGUCGGGGACCGCACCGCUUGAGGGCGGUAGGGGCUGGUGGAAUGCCUGGUGUAGUGGUGAAAUGCGUAGAGAUCAGGCAGAACACCUGGGGCGAAGGCGGCCAGCUGGGCCGUCCCUGACGCUGAGGCGCGAAGGCUUGGGGAGCGAACGGG